rfam:Bacillus shackletonii strain LMG 18435 super19, whole genome shotgun sequence.
UAGCUCAGUCGGUAGAGCAUCUGACUUUUAAUCAGAGGGUCGAAGGUUCGAGUCCUUC